UCUGGGAUAAGCCUGGGAAACUGGGUCUAAUACCGGAUAUGACUUCUCAUCGCAUGGUGGGGGGUGGAAAGCUUUUGUGGUUUUGGAUGGACUCGCGGCCUAUCAGCUUGUUGGUGGGGUAAUGGCCUACCAAGGCACGACGGGUAGCCGGCCUGAGAGGGUGACCGGCCACACUGGGACUGAGACACGGCCCAGACUCCUACGGGAGGCAGCAGUGGGGAAUAUUGCACAAUGGGCGCAAGCCUGAUGCAGCGACGCCGCGUGAGGGAUGACGGCCUUCGGGUUGUAAACCUCUUUCAGUAGGGAAGAAGCCCUCUUUUGGGGGUGACGGUACUUGCAGAAGAAGCGCCGGCUAACUACGUGCCAGCAGCCGCGGUAAUACGUAGGGCGCAAGCGUUAUCCGGAAUUAUUGGGCGUAAAGAGCU
rnacentral:rRNA from 2 species